rnacentral:rRNA from 1 species
UACGAACUGUGCGAACGUUAUUCGGAAUCACUGGGCUUACAGGGUGCGUAGGUGGCCAACUAAGUCAGACGUGAAAUCCCUCGGCUUAACCGGGGAACUGCGUCUGAUACUGGAUGGCUUGAGUUCGGGAGAGGGAUGCAGAAUUCCAGGUGUAGCGGUGAAAUGCGUAGAUAUCUGGAGGAAUACCGGUGGCGAAGGCGGCAUCCUGGACCGACAUUGACGCUGAACGGCGAAAGCUAAGGGAGCAAACGG